rnacentral:rRNA from 1 species
GACGAACGCUGGCGGCGCGCUUUAUACAUGCAAGUCGAACGUGAAGCUCGGAGCUUGCUCCGGGUGGAAAGUGGCGAACGGGGUGAGUAUCACGUGAGAAACCUGCCCCGAAGACCGGGAUAAACACCGGGAAACCGGUGCUAAUACCGGAUGCCCUCACCGGAUCGCAUGGUCUGGUGAGGAAAUGGAUUCCGCUUCGGGAUGGUCUCGCGGCCUAUCAGCUUGUUGGUGGGGUAANGGCCCACCAAGGCUUCGACGGGUAGCUGGUCUGAGAGGAUGUCCAGCCACACUGGGACUGAGACACGGCCCAGACUCCUACGGGAGGCAGCAGUAGGGAAUCUUGCACAAUGACGAAAGUCUGAUGCAGCGACGCCGCGUGUGGGAUGACUG